rnacentral:snoRNA from 1 species
AACAUAGAUGAUGAUGAGAUGAUUCACUUUAUUUUGAAUGGUCUUGAUUUUGACUACAAUCCUUUUGUGACAUCUAUGCUUGGUCGCGUUGGUUUUCUCUCUUUGAGCGAGUUAUACUCUCAAUUGCUUACUUAUGAUC